rnacentral:rRNA from 1 species
GAUGAACGCUGGCGGCGUGCCUAAUACAUGCAAGUCGAGCGAACAGAUGAGGAGCUUGCUCCUCUGACGUUAGCGGCGGACGGGUGAGUAACACGUGGAUAACCUACCUAUAAGACUGGGAUAACUACGGGAAACCGGAGCUAAUACCGGAUAAUAUAUUGAACCGCAUGGUUCAAUAGUGAAAGACGGUUUUGCUGUCACUUAUAGAUGGAUCCGCGCCGCAUUAGCUAGUUGGUAAGGUAACGGCUUACCAAGGCAACGAUGCGUAGCCGACCUGAGAGGGGGGUCGGCCACAAUGGAAACGGAAACAGGGCCAGAACUCCAAGGGGGGGAGGCAGAGGGAAAUUUCCGAAAAGGGGGAAAGGCUGAAGGAGGAACCGCGGGGGAGGGAAGAAGGGUUUUGGAAUGGAAAAACUUGUUUAUAGGGAAAAAAAAAUGGGGAAAGAAAUUAGCAACGUUUGAAGGGUACUAAACAAAAAGACAAGGCUAAACAAGGU